ensembl:Mt_tRNA
AAGACAUUAGCAAAAACAUUACACCACUUUGUCAAGGUGAAAUUACAAGUUAAAACCUUGUAUGUCUUA